rnacentral:rRNA from 1 species
UUAAGCGACUAAGCGUACACGGUGGAUGCCCUGGCAGUCAGAGGCGAUGAAGGACGUGCUAAUCUGCGAUAAGCGUCGGUAAGGUGAUAUGAACCGUUAUAACCGGCGAUUUCCGAAUGGGGAAACCCAGUGUGAUUCGUCACACUAUCAUUAACUGAAUCCAUAGGUUAAUGAGGCGAACCGGGGGAACUGAAACAUCUAAGUACCCCGAGGAAAAGAAAUCAACCGAGAUUCCCCCAGUAGCGGCGAGCGAACGGGGAGCAGCCCAGAGCCUGAAUCAGUAUGUGUGUUAGUGGAAGCGUCUGGAAAGGCGCGCGAUACAGGGUGACAGCCCCGUACACAAAAAUGCACAUGCUGUGAGCUCGAUGAGUAGGGCGGGACACGUGGUAUCCUGUCUGAAUAUGGGGGGACCAUCCUCCAAGGCUAAAUACUCCUGACUGACCGAUAGUGAACCAGUACCGUGAGGGAAAGGCGAAAAGAACCCCGGCGAGGGGAGUGAAAAAGAACCUGAAACCGUGUACGUACAAGCAGUGGGAGCACAGAGCAAUCUGUGUGACUGCGUACCUUUUGUAUAAUGGGUCAGCGACUUAUAUUCUGUAGCAAGGUUAACCGAAUAGGGGAGCCGAAGGGAAACCGAGUCUUAACUGGGCGUUAAGUUGCAGGGUAUAGACCCGAAACCCGGUGAUCUAGCCAUGGGCAGGUUGAAGGUUGGGUAACACUAACUGGAGGACCGAACCGACUAAUGUUGAAAAAUUAGCGGAUGACUUGUGGCUGGGGGUGAAAGGCCAAUCAAACCGGGAGAUAGCUGGUUCUCCCCGAAAGCUAUUUAGGUAGCGCCUCGUGAAUUCAUCUCCGGGGGUAGAGCACUGUUUCGGCAAGGGGGUCAUCCCGACUUACCAACCCGAUGCAAACUGCGAAUACCGGAGAAUGUUAUCACGGGAGACACACGGCGGGUGCUAACGUCCGUCGUGAAGAGGGAAACAACCCAGACCGCCAGCUAAGGUCCCAAAGUCAUGGUUAAGUGGGAAACGAUGUGGGAAGGCCCAGACAGCCAGGAUGUUGGCUUAGAAGCAGCCAUCAUUUAAAGAAAGCGUAAUAGCUCACUGGUCGAGUCGGCCUGCGCGGAAGAUGUAACGGGGCUAAACCAUGCACCGAAGCUGCGGCAGCGACGCUUAUGCGUUGUUGGGUAGGGGAGCGUUCUGUAAGCCUGUGAAGGUGUGCUGUGAGGCAUGCUGGAGGUAUCAGAAGUGCGAAUGCUGACAUAAGUAACGAUAAAGCGGGUGAAAAGCCCGCUCGCCGGAAGACCAAGGGUUCCUGUCCAACGUUAAUCGGGGCAGGGUGAGUCGACCCCUAAGGCGAGGCCGAAAGGCGUAGUCGAUGGGAAACAGGUUAAUAUUCCUGUACUUGGUGUUACUGCGAAGGGGGGACGGAGAAGGCUAUGUUGGCCGGGCGACGGUUGUCCCGGUUUAAGCGUGUAGGCUGGUUUUCCAGGCAAAUCCGGAAAAUCAAGGCUGAGGCGUGAUGACGAGGCACUACGGUGCUGAAGCAACAAAUGCCCUGCUUCCAGGAAAAGCCUCUAAGCAUCAGGUAACAUCAAAUCGUACCCCAAACCGACACAGGUGGUCAGGUAGAGAAUACCAAGGCGCUUGAGAGAACUCGGGUGAAGGAACUAGGCAAAAUGGUGCCGUAACUUCGGGAGAAGGCACGCUGAUAUGUAGGUGAAGUCCCUCGCGGAUGGAGCUGAAAUCAGUCGAAGAUACCAGCUGGCUGCAACUGUUUAUUAAAAACACAGCACUGUGCAAACACGAAAGUGGACGUAUACGGUGUGACGCCUGCCCGGUGCCGGAAGGUUAAUUGAUGGGGUCAGCGCAAGCGAAGCUCUUGAUCGAAGCCCCGGUAAACGGCGGCCGUAACUAUAACGGUCCUAAGGUAGCGAAAUUCCUUGUCGGGUAAGUUCCGACCUGCACGAAUGGCGUAAUGAUGGCCAGGCUGUCUCCACCCGAGACUCAGUGAAAUUGAACUCGCUGUGAAGAUGCAGUGUACCCGCGGCAAGACGGAAAGACCCCGUGAACCUUUACUAUAGCUUGACACUGAACAUUGAGCCUUGAUGUGUAGGAUAGGUGGGAGGCUUGGAAGUGUGGACGCCAGUCUGCAUGGAGCCGACCUUGAAAUACCACCCUUUAAUGUUUGAUGUUCUAACGUUGACCCGUAAUCCGGGUUGCGGACAGUGUCUGGUGGGUAGUUUGACUGGGGCGGUCUCCUCCUAAAGAGUAACGGAGGAGCACGAAGGUUGGCUAAUCCUGGUCGGACAUCAGGAGGUUAGUGCAAUGGCAUAAGCCAGCUUGACUGCGAGCGUGACGGCGCGAGCAGGUGCGAAAGCAGGUCAUAGUGAUCCGGUGGUUCUGAAUGGAAGGGCCAUCGCUCAACGGAUAAAAGGUACUCCGGGGAUAACAGGCUGAUACCGCCCAAGAGUUCAUAUCGACGGCGGUGUUUGGCACCUCGAUGUCGGCUCAUCACAUCCUGGGGCUGAAGUAGGUCCCAAGGGUAUGGCUGUUCGCCAUUUAAAGUGGUACGCGAGCUGGGUUUAGAACGUCGUGAGACAGUUCGGUCCCUAUCUGCCGUGGGCGCUGGAGAACUGAGGGGGGCUGCUCCUAGUACGAGAGGACCGGAGUGGACGCAUCACUGGUGUUCGGGUUGUCAUGCCAAUGGCACUGCCCGGUAGCUAAAUGCGGAAGAGAUAAGUGCUGAAAGCAUCUAAGCACGAAACUUGCCCCGAGAUGAGUUCUCCCUGACUCCUUGAGAGUCCUGAAGGAACGUUGAAGACGACGACGUUGAUAGGCCGGGUGUGUAAGCGCAGCGAUGCGUUGAGCUAACCGGUACUAAUGAGCCGUGAGGCUUAACCUU